rnacentral:rRNA from 1 species
AGAGUUUGAUCAUGGCUCAGAUUGAACGCUGGCGGCAGGCCUAACACAUGCAAGUCGAACGGUAACAGGAAGAAGCUUGCUACUUUGCUGACGAGUGGCGGACGGGUGAGUAAUGUCUGGGAAACUGCCUGAUGGAGGGGGAUAACUACUGGAAACGGUAGCUAAUACCGCAUAACGUCGCAAGACCAAAGAGGGGGACCUUCGGGCCUCUUGCCAUCGGAUGUGCCCAGAUGGGAUUAGCUAGUAGGUGGGGUAACGGCUCACCUAGGCAACGAUCCCUAGCUGGUCUGAGAGGAUGACCAGCCACACUGGAACUGAGACACGGUCCAGACUCCUACGGGAGGCAGCAGUGGGGAAUAUUGCACAAUGGGCGCAAGCCUGAUGCAGCCAUGCCGCGUGUAUGAAGAAGGCCUUCGGGUUGUAAAGUACUUUCAGCGGGGAGGAAGGGAGUAAAGUUAAUACCUUUGCUCAUUGACGUUACCCGCAGAAGAAGCACCGGCUAACUCCGUGCCAGCAGCCGCGGUAAUACGGAGGGUGCGAGCGUUAAUCGGAAUUACUGGGCGUAAAGCGCACGCAGGCGGUUUGUUAAGUCAGAUGUGAGAUCCCCGGGCUCAACCUGGGAACUGCAUCUGAUACUGGCAAGCUUGAGUCUCGUAGAGGGGGGUAGAAUUCCAGGUGUAGCGGUGAAAUGCGUAGAGAUCUGGAGGAUUACCGGUGGCGAAGGCGGCCCCCUGGACGAAGACUGACGCUCAGGUGCGAAAGCGUGGGGAGCAAACAGGAUUAGAUACCCUGGUAGUCCACGCCGUAAACGAUGUCGACUUGGAGGUUGUGCCCUUGAGGCGUGGCUUCCGGAGCUAACGCGUUAAGUCGACCGCCUGGGGAGUACGGCCGCAAGGUUAAAACUCAAAUGAAUUGACGGGGGCCCGCACAAGCGGUGGAGCAUGUGGUUUAAUUCGAUGCAACGCGAAGAACCUUACCUGGUCUUGACAUCCACAGAACUUUCCAGAGAUGGAUUGGUGCCUUCGGGAACUGUGAGACAGGUGCUGCAUGGCUGUCGUCAGCUCGUGUUGUGAAAUGUUGGGUUAAGUCCCGCAACGAGCGCAACCCUUAUCUUUUGUUGCCAGCGGUCCGGCCGGGAACUCAAAGGAGACUGCCAGUGAUAAACUGGAGGAAGGUGGGGAUGACGUCAGGUCAUCAUGGCCCUUACGACCAGGGCUACACACGUGCUACAAUGGCGCAUACAAAGAGAAGCGACCUCGCGAGAGCAAGCGGACCUCAUAAAGUGCGUCGUAGUCCGGAUUGGAGUCUGCAACUCGACUCCAUGGAGU